UACGUAGGGCGCAAGCGUUGUCCGGAAUUAUUGGGCGUAAAGAGCUCGUAGGCGGCUUGUCACGUCGGGUGUGAAAGCCCGGGGCUUAACCCCGGGUCUGCAUUCGAUACGGGUUGGCUAGAGUGUGGUAGGGGAGAUCGGAAUUCCUGGUGUAGCGGUGAAAUGCGCAGAUAUCAGGAGGAACACCGGUGGCGAAGGCGGAUCUCUGGGCCAUUACUGACGCUGAGGAGCGAAAGCGUGGGGAGCGAACAGG
rnacentral:rRNA from 1 species